GGGGUGAGGGGAGUGCCAAAAGUAGAACCCUUCCCUGGUGCAAAAUGCUCUAGGUACGCCCCUGGGCGCAGUGUGUGUGUGUCUGAGGGGUGCAGUCUGUUUGUGUGAGGGGUUCUGUGUGUGUGUGUGUGGUGUGCAGUGUGUGUAAGGGGUUCUGUGUAUGUGUGUGGUGUGCAGUGUGCAGUGUGUGUGUGUGAGGAUGUGCAGUGUGUUUGUGUGAGGGGUGCUGUGUGUGAAGGGGUGCAGUGUGUGAU